rnacentral:rRNA from 1 species
UACGUAGGGUGCGAGCGUUGUCCGGAAUUAUUGGGCGUAAAGAGCUUGUAGGCGGUUUGUCGCGUCUGCUGUGAAAAUCCGGGGCUCAACCCCGGACUUGCAGUGGGUACGGGCAGGCUAGAGUGUGGUAGGGGAGAAUGGAAUUCCCGGUGUAGCGGUGAAAUGCGCAGAUAUCGGGAAGAACACCCGUGGCGAAGGCGGUUCUCUGGGACGGUACUGACGCUGAGGAGCGAAAGCAUGGGGGAGCGAACAGG